AUUGAACGCUGGCGGCAGGCCUAACACAUGCAAGUCGAGCGGAUGAAGGUAGCUUGCUCCUGGAUUCAGCGGCGGACGGGUGAGUAAUGCCUAGGAAUCUGCCUGGUAGUGGGGGAUAACGUCCGGAAACGGGCGCUAAUACCGCAUACGUCCUGAGGGAGAAAGUGGGUGAUCUUCGGACCUCACGCUAUCAGAUGACCCUAGGUCGGAUUAGCUAGUGGGUGGGGUAAAGGCCUACCAGGGCGACGAUCCGUAACUGGUCUGAGAGGAUGAUCAGUCACACUGGACCUGAGACACGGUCCAGACUCCUACGGGAGGCAGCAGUGGGGAAUAUUGGACAAUGGGCGAAAGCCUGAUCCAGCCCUGCCGCGUGUGUGAAGAAGGUCUUCGGAUUGUAAAGCACUUUAAGUUGGGAGGAAGGGCAGUAAGUUAAUACCUUGCUGUUUUGACGUUACCAACAGAAUAAGCACCGGCUAACUUCGUG
rnacentral:rRNA from 1 species